GAUGAACGCUGGCGGCGUGCCUAAUACAUGCAAGUCGAGCGAACAGACGAGGAGCUUGCUCCUCUGACGUUAGCGGCGGACGGGUGAGUAACACGUGGAUAACCUACCUAUAAGACUGGGAUAACUUCGGGAAACCGGAGCUAAUACCGGAUAAUAUAUUGAACCGCAUGGUUCAAUAGUGAAAGACGGUUUUGCUGUCACUUAUAGCUGGAUCCGCGCCGCAUUAGCUAGUUGGUAAGGUAACGGCUUACCAAGGCAACGAUGCGUAGCCGACCUGAGAGAGUGAUCGGCCACACGGGAACUGAGACACGGUCCAGACUCCUACGGGAGGCAGCAGUAGGGAAUCUUCCGCAAUGGGCGAAAGCCUGACGGAGCAACGCCGCGUGAGUGAUGAAGGUCUUCGGAUCGUAAAACUCUGUUAUUAGGGAAGAACAAAUGUGUAAGUAACUAUGCACGUCUUGACGGUACCUAAUCAGAAAGCCACGGCUAACUACGUG
rnacentral:rRNA from 1 species